GAGUCAUGUGACUCAUUUAUGUAUAAUAUUUGUGAGUCAGGCGAAACUUGACUCACUAACAAAAUUAAAUGAGUCUUAGUUGACUCAUCUGUAAUUAACAAGUGAGUCAAUAACGAAAUGACUCACUUGCAGAAUGCUCCGACUGACUCACAUAGUUGUAAAAAAUGAGUCAAGAUCGGCGAUUGACUCAUUUACAAAAAAAAAAUGAGUCAAGAAUAAAGCCGUGCGCGCAUGCGCUACUUGCACGCUAUGACGUCAACCAUCGCGCGAACAUUCCCGUUUGACGUCGCCAUUGCUGAAUUGGAUCAAGAGAAUACUGGCUACUGGAAGAAGUCACUACGCAACAGAUUCAGGAAUUGCAGGAAAUGUCAUGAACGUGAUAAUCCAUUAGGACAAAUGGAAGCAAAGAAAGGGGACUACACCCAAACCAGACAAAGCUGCAGGCAAACACAUGUAUGGCAUAAAGAAAGUACCUUCCUGCAUCCCCAGAAAGUGAGGAUGAAGAAACGAUCAAUGCUCACAUCAAGAUGCUUCAGAAUGAAUCCAGAAAAACAAGACAGGACAGCUUGAUGAUAGACAAUCUACUAACUUAUGCCCAUAGGCGCAAGGGUAUCAUCAACAGCAACUGGACUGAAUCCUACUUGAAGGAUAUGUACCCUUACCUUUUCCAUGAAGAUGAGAGUUUGAGAGACUGUCAGAGGACCCAACUAAGCAGAAGUUGGAAGCAGGACAUUUGAAUAUGCUGAUCCAUUACUAGAGAUAUGCAAGACUCCCAAGCAAGGUUUGGAGCUCAAAAACCUGAUCUUGGCUGCAGCAGCAGAAAAUGAAGACACCAGGAAAAUGAUCAAAUCAUGUGGAGCACUUCUGUUGAUUCCUACUAUUUUUGGAGAGAAGGCAUUGCUUUGUCAGCAUAGCCAGGAUAAAAAACGGACCAAUCGCCAAAAUCAUCUACAAAAGUAAGCCCGACAGUGCAGGUCUGACUCUGAGCAGUGAUCAUGAAAAAUUCACGGAAAUUCUGCAAUCAUCCUAUAUUACAGCAGAGAAUGAAGUCAUCUGCGAGAAAACCACCUACCUCAUGUCAGCAGUCUCUCUGCUUAUGUCGGCCCAUUAUGUAUUCAACUGCUCAUACACCCCCAAGAUGGGUAACACCCUCACAUUCAUUCAGAAGAUUCUGAUGAACAUAGAUUCCACAUCUCAACCUUCAUCCAAGGUCGUAAGAAGCCUGUAUGACUUAAAUGCUGUCCGAAAUGCUGAUGCCAGUAGUUCUUCAGUUUAAUAGAAAUUAAUUACUUGGGUGAUGCUACUGCAACUCAGCUGAUCACACUUUCUCUACGUGCAAUCACCUUAGGUGUUGUAUCUGUCUUUUAUGUGCAAAAUAGAUUGAAAUAGAUACGACAGGUUGACCGUGAAUUUAGACAUCAAGUAUGUGCAUUAUUUCGCUUUGCUUCAGUACAAUUUCAGUGGCCCUUGAAUUGGAAAUCUUUUCAUAUCCCAAGAAUUACGUAUAAAUGCUUAAUGAAAUUUUUGUCACAGAUAAAAUAGGAUUUUGCACACACAAAAAAGAAAAGAUAUUUGGACCCAAAAUUUUUACAGAUCAGAUGGUCAACAAUUUUUUUUUUUUGGGGGGGGAAUUGAAGACUAAGCUAUUAAUAUUCUACUUUUUGAUUUUUGUACACAUUUUGUUACUGUACAUGUAAAUAAGUUUAACACCACAAAUUUGAAGAAUUACAACAUUUUAAAGGUUCUCUAUGGAAUUUUAGUUAGUUUGUAAGUUUCAAGCAACUUAGUAUUUAAUUCCAAGAAUUAUACAAAGGCACUUUUCAAGAUUAUGGCUUCCAACAUCAGUACAUGAUGGAAACAAUUCUCAAUGUUUACAUUUAUUGAGAUGGUAAGCACAUGCAACUGAUUUGAAACUAAUUUUAUAAAUUUGACAAAGCACUGCCAUUAAUUUUAAGCCAAUCUGCACACUUCCAAGCAUGUCAAAGGUAUUGCUUAAUAGCCCAAUCACCACAAUUAUCAUUGCCUUUAAAAAAAAAUUGC